rnacentral:rRNA from 1 species
AUGAACGCUGGCGGCGUGCCUAACACAUGCAAGUCGAACGGAGUUUAGCGCUGAUGAAGCUUCGGCAGAAUCUUGUUAAACUUAGUGGCGGACGGGUGAGUAACGCGUGGGUAACCUGCCUCAUACAGGGGGGAUAGCAGUUGGAAACGACUGAUAACACCGCAUAAGCGCACAGUGUCGCAUGACACAGUGUGAAAAAUAUUUAUAGGUAUGAGAUGGACCCGCGUCUGAUUAGCUAGUUGGUGAGGUAACGGCCCACCAAGGCGACGAUCAGUAGCCGGCCUGAGAGGGCGGACGGCCACAUUGGGACUGAGACACGGCCCAAACUCCUACGGGAGGCAGCAGUGGGGGAUAUUGCACAAUGGGCGAAAGCCUGAUGCAGCGACGCCGCCGUGAGUGAAGAAGUAUUUCGGUAUGUAAAGCUCUAUCAGCAGGGAAGAAAGACCUCGUAAGAGGGGAUGACGGUACCUGAGUAAGAAGCCCCGGCUAACUACGUGCCAGCCGCCGC